AAUAUUGGACAAGGGGCGAAAGCCUGAUCCAGCCAUGCCGCGUGUGUGAAGAAGGUCUUCGGAUUGUAAAGCACUUUAAGUUGGGAGGAAGGGCAGUCAGCUAAUACCUUGCGGGUUUGACGUUACCGACAGAAUAAGCACCGGCUAACUUCGGGCCUGCAGCCGCGGUAAUACGAAGGGUGCAAGCGUUAAUCGGAAUUACUGGGCGUAAAGCGCGCGUAGGUGGUUUGUUAAGUUGGAAGUGAAAGCCCCGGGCUCAACCUGGGAACUGCUUUCAAAACUGGCAAGCUAGAGUAUGGCAGAGGAUGGUGGAAUUUCCUGUGUAGCGGUGAAAUGCGUAGAUAUAGGAAGGAACACCAGUGGCGAAGGCGACUACCUGGACUGAUACUGACACUGAGGUGCGAAAGCGUGGGGAGCAAAC
rnacentral:rRNA from 1 species